GCGAACGCUGGCGGCAGGCCUAACACAUGCAAGUCGAGCGCCCGUAGCAAUACGGGAGCGGCAGACGGGAGAGUAACACGUGGGAACGUGCCCUUCGGUUCGGAAUAACUCAGGGAAACUUGAGCUAAUACCGGAUACGCCCUUACGGGAAGAUUUAUUGCCGAGGGAGCGGCCCGCGUCCGAUUAGCUAGUUGGUGAGGUAACGGCUCACCAAGGCGACGAUCGGUAGCUGGUCUGAGAGGAUGACCAGCCUCACUGGGACUGAGACACGGCCCAGACUCCUACGGGAGGCAGCAGUGGGGAAUAUUGGACAAUGGGCGCAAGCCUGAUCCAGCCAUGCCGCGUGGGUGAUGAAGGCCCUAGGGUUGUAAAGCCCUUUCGGCGGGGAAGAUAAUGACGGUACCCGCAGAAGAA
rnacentral:rRNA from 1 species